rnacentral:tRNA from 1 species
GCCCCCAUAGCUCAAUGGAUAGAGCGCCGGCCUCCGGAGCCGUAGAUAUAGGUUCGACUCCUAUUGGGGGCG